CAGUAUGCAUUGUGACACCUUGAACGCCGGGCUCUACUCCCUGAGUCCCCAGUGUCCACUUGAGAAGCCCAGCAUCAAGACUCGAGUGCCAUCCUCCUCAGCGACAUCAUGGAAAGGUCGUUCAUCGCGAUGACGUUGGUACUCAGCCUUCUGGUCGCUGCCGCCAUCUGUGAGCCCAAAAGUGCAGGUAAAGUGAGCAUUCUAGAGCUAUGUAAGCGGGUGAUGAUCGACUGCUCGACCAGACCGCCCCAUCUGUGUUGUCGCUACCACGGCAGCCCACAGACACCGCACCGUAAGCCUAUCACGGCCGGCUAGAAUCACCUGGCAUCCUACAGCCUCCGGAAGAAACUACACUGAAAUGAACUCCCUGUUCGAUGCAUAUUUUUCGGGCUGAUGGAUGUACAUGCAUAGGAAAAAUCGUCAAGCUUGAGAGGAGCCCACAACAGUUCGACUCCUUCUGCCCAUUAAAGCUUUUUAGCUACUUUUAGGCUGGAUUUUACAUUAUAUAUAUAUGGAAUGUGAAUGUCCCUAAGGCUCUGUCAGAUGUUUCGAAACAAGUUUGUUCUGCUCGUCUGUUUGUUAAAAAUUUGCUGGAUUUCCUCUUCUAGUUGUAAAUACAUUGUAUAAUCAUCAUUCUCUCUCUCUCUCUCUCUCUCUCUCUCUCUCUCUCUCUCUCUCUCUCUCUCUCUCUCUCUCUCUCUCUCUCUCUCUCUCUCUCUCUUCAGCAGUCAAGUUAUGCUUCGUCCCGAGGUCGGAGGAACGAAAAUUAGUCAUUACAUUUGUUUCAGUUACCCUCAAUUAUUUGUAAUGAUAAUGGUUUGUAAUAUGUCACUAGUGCACAUACACGUGGCUCAUUAUUGAAGGUUAUGCAAGUCUAAAGAUAUUUUUUGCUGCUUUGCCAGUCCUCAUUUAUUUAUUGUAAUUUGUAAAUCUGUAUAAUAAAUUAACACAAAUU